rnacentral:rRNA from 1 species
UACGUAGGGGGCAAGCGUUGUCCGGAAUCACUGGGCGUAAAGCGCGUGUAGGCGGAUUGUUAAGUCGGGGGUGAAAUCCUGAGGCUCAACCUCAGAACUGCCUUCGAUACUGGCAAUCUUGAGUCCGGGAGAGGUGAGUGGAACUCCUAGUGUAGAGGUGAAAUUCGUAGAUAUUAGGAAGAACACCAGUGGCGAAGGCGGCUCACUGGCCCGGAACUGACGCUGAAACGCGAAAGCGUGGGGAGCAAACAGG